GAAAAACUUACGUCGGUUUCUAUCGGCCGGUGUCGUCGGUAGGCAGUUUGCUGCCGGCGUCCGGGUUCAAACCCACACCACAAACUGCUGAUUUGGUCUGUCAGCACCACAUUUGUGUUUUCGUUAGAAUGGACGGACCGAUGACAAAAAAAGCAGCUUUUGGCGGUGUGACCUUUUGGCAAGCUUAACGCAAUCGUUCGUUAGUCAUCGUAUUGACUAUUAUCGUAUCAAUGGAAGUCUCUCUACUCUCCAGUGACCGUCAACAAAUCAAGCCAUGGGAACCUACGAGCAGCUUAAAGGUGGCAGGCCUGCUGGCUGGUCAUAUCAACAACACCCACACGACAAGCGGCGUUGCGAGAUAGAACUCAAAAUCAAAGGGGCGGAGCCCCCCGCCGAUCGGUAUUGGCUUGCACGUGCGCCCGCUGCAGACUGCCAUAGUCAGAAUCUGUUUCCGCCGCAGUAGGAAAAGAAUUUAGGAUAUCGUAGCACGUUGCACAUUAGUGACUCGUGAAGCAUCAAUGCAUCAAGACGACGCUCAGCUUAAUCUACUAACGUGAGUUCAUCAUGAGCGUGACAGGCUUACCGUUUGCGGACCGUGAGUCUCAUUGUGUUAGCUUGCGACUGCGAAUGAAUUUCG